AACGAACGCUGGCGGCGUGGAUAAGACAUGCAAGUCGAGCGGGAACUUUCGCUGUAGCAAUACAGUGAAAGUUCUAGCGGCGAACGGGUGCGUAACACGUGGACAAUCUGCCUUAAAGUGGGGAUAGCUCGGCGAAAGCCGAAUUAAUACCGCAUGUGAUGGAGAGACGACAUCGUCUUGAAAUCAAAGCCGGGGCAACCUGGCGCUUUUUGAGGAGUCCGCGGCCAUCAGCUAGUUGGUGAGGUAACGGCCACCAAGGCUAUGACGGGUAGCUGGUCUGAGAGGACGACCAGUCACACUGGAACUGAGACACGGUCCAGACACCUACGGGUGGCAGCAGUCGAGAAUUUUUGACAAUGGGGAAACCCUGAUCGAGCGACGCCGCGUGGAGGAU
rnacentral:rRNA from 1 species